GACGAACGCUGGCGGCGUGCCUAAUACAUGCAAGUCGAGCGAAGCGGCGGAUGGGUGAGUAACGCGUGGGUAACCUGCCCUUAAGUCUGGGAUACCAUUUGGAAACAGAUGCUCUUACCGGAUACUAAAGGAUGGACCUGCGAUGCAUUAGCUAGUUGGUAAGGUAACGGCUUACCAAGGCGAUGAUGCAUAGCCUAGGUGAGAGACUGAUCGGCCACAGAGGGACUUAGACAACGGCCAAAAUCCUACGGGAGGCAGCAGUAGGGAAUCUGCCACAAUGGACGAAAGUCUGAUGGAGCAACGGCGCGUGAGUGAAGAAGGGUUUCGGAUCGUAAAGCUCUGUUGUUGGUGAAGCGGUAAUCAACCAGAAAGUCACGGCUAACUACGUGCCAGCAGCCGCGGUAAUUC
rnacentral:rRNA from 1 species